rnacentral:lncRNA from 1 species
CUUACCUAAGAUUAUUAAUUAAAUUCAUAUUUUUAACCUAGUUGUCCUGUUUGAUGAUAUCUUGAAUUGUAGGUUAUUGUUUCGAGUUAUUUCAAUGGUUUUAGAAAGUUAGGAUUCUGAGCUUGAUAAAAGAAUAAAAUACUUUGAACACUUGAUGUGUGCAGUAUACCAUCUAGUUGUUCAAGGUCCAUGGGCCGCCGACUAUAGAUUCUUUUGCUAUGGACCAACACAAACAAAUUUUGUUGUUAUGACCUGAUUAGUCAAAGUUUAAUCUGUUUAUUUGAAACAGAUUUGGA